AUUGCUUUUAAAUAUCUAUCCACAAAAUCUGAAAAAUAUUUCAAGUUGGAAUGAUCUGUAAUUUUGUAGAAUUAUUAGAAAUGACUGAAGAAAAGAAAUUGAACACUGAGCAGGAAGAAAGGCACCAGAAGUAGCCUAGCACCCACAGGGAAUCCGUAUCUAAUACUUGAGUUGCCUCGUGGGAGUAGCUGCUAUUGUCCCUGGGUGCCUGGGAGACAGGGCUUUGAUUGGAAUUGUCCCUUGUGACACCUUAUCCAUUAUUUUUAGUUCUGCAGUGAAGAGAACUGUGAUUAAGGGCUAUGGCCAAUAGAAAAAGUGAGGCUUAUUUCCAGGAUCAGCAAAUCCUUUACUGUUUUGGACUUAGGGGAAAAUCUCAGGCUUGAGGAGAUUGGUUCCUCUGGAGGCCUAUCUGAAAUGUGAUGCACAAAGACACCUGUCAUUACCACAAAAAUCAAGUCGUCAUCUUCAUAAGUGAUUGCCAGGAUCAGCACACAGCCUCAGAACUGCAGGAAGACCCUGAGGGCUUAAAAGCACAAGCAUUUUAAUUGUGGAUGCUGGCAAUGCCUGCGUAGCCACGGCCAGAGCCCCCCUCUUCUAGGUUACCGGGCCAAGCCAUCCAGGAAUGCAGAUCUGCACCCUGGAACUUUACCACAACCUCUGCUCCAGGCGUCAGUGUGGCGGACUGGGGAACAAAAGGUUGGCCAAAAUCUGAAAUGAUCAGGGCCCUUCUUGGGUCUGUCACUGACUAGUGCUGUGUCUGGGGGUUCUCAUUCAUCCUCCCCUACGUAAAGCUUCACCAGUCCUCCCCGCAUUUGCCAAAACAAGGCACGCUGAACUGGAUCUGAGAUCAUGGAAUUCAUCUUUCUGAUCCCUGUACAGCAAGUUAGAAGUGAAGCCUCCAGGGGUUGUGUAUGCAUUGGAAGUUCCUCUUCACAUAACAAUCACCAAUAAAGGAAGUGAUAGGCUCUUUUGUGUUGGAGGGGACACUGGGGAUUGAACCCAGGGGUGCUUUACCACUGAGCUACAUCCCCAGCUCUUUUUUUGUUUUUGAUUUUCAGCCAUGGUCUCACUAAAUUGCUGAAGCUGGCCUCAAAUUUUCCAUCCUCCUGCCUCAGCCUCCCAAGUCAUUGGAAUUGCAAACGUGCUAUAUGCUAAAGUAUUAGAUGCCAAUUCCCUGUGGGUUCUAGGCUAGUUCUGGUGCCUUUCUUCCUGCUCAGUGUCACCAGUGCAGUGACAGUGCAGUCUCACUGAAAGACUUUAGAAGGCCGUCUUUUGAAUAAAAACCUUUUGUAUAAUCGAUGGGGAUAAGUUAAAAUUCAACCCAGGAAAGAAAUGCAGAUUUUUCCCUGGUCAUGAGUGGAACAUAGAUCUUUCUGAGUUGUUGAUUUGCUAUUGUUUCCUCUGAAUCUUUCCAUCUUGACAGACAUCCCUAGGCUUUGCUAAGCACUUACAUCCAGCAUUCACAGCUACAUUCUGUAAUGUUAGAGUAAAAAAAGGACACCCGGAAGUUGAUUUGCAGGAGAGCUGAGGUAUGUGUGGGCUUUGAAGGUGAAGUCCAGGGAUUUAAAUCCAAACCUAGAAGUACGGAAGCCUCAGGGAGCCAUCAGCUGGCAGUCUGAAAGGGCGGGGGAAACAGCUCAAUGAGCAUCUCCAAUGAGCAUCACCGCAGAGGAGCCAAUCAGCUAGAAGUUGCUGGGGCUGCUGUGAGCCAAUCAUCAGCCGGCAGUCUGAAAGUUUCCUGGGGUCCCUUUCGGCUGUGGCUCUCAACAGGGAGCAUCUUGGGAGGUGGGGAAGAACCUCCAUUUGGCUUGUGACUAUCAGUUUUAUAGGUCAGAAUCAUUUCUCAUACUAGACUUGACACAGGACAGAGCGGCAUUCCACUCAAAGCUAGAGUUGGCACAGUUAACAGACUUACUUAAAGAGAAAAAGAUGAUAGGUUUUGUGGAGGACAACCCUUUUCUACUUGGUAUGUCACAUGAACCACUAAGUGAAAAUCUGAGUACCAAAGUUUGAUUACCCUACCUCUAGGAGACUUGGAAAACAGAAGAAAAGAAUAAUACAUGCAGUAAUUAAUGUGGGUUUAGGUCACUAGAGAAUAUUUUAAAGAAAAGCAUAGAGUGGAACAACAAUGUCUUGUGUUCCCCUCAAAAUACCAAGCAAAUGAAUCAGAUGUGGGAGGGCCCCUAGAGCCAGAGGAAUCUGCAGCUUUGGUUCUGUGGACACCAAGCCACAGUGUAGGCGGCUGGCUUGGGGCCUCCAGAUUCAGUUUCUAAUAUGGACAUCACAAUAAGCUUAGGAGUAUAAACUUAAGCACACAUUUGAAAGGCAUAAUUGAUGUGUUGAAGCCUACAUAUUUAAAUUCACUCUAUUCCAACAAAUAUGUAUUCAUUUCAGCAAAUGCAGAUUAACACUUUUUUUGCAGGGCACCUGCAAGACCUGAGGACAAAAGCAGGGGCAAGCUCAGCUCUUCGCCUUGGCAGCUGUGAGGAUGGCUGGGGCCUGAGCCUAAGCAACCCCAUUUAAAACUCCAGUUUGAAACCUGCAGUCUCACCAGGACACCUAGGAGCUCUCCAUAUGGCCCUCAGGCACCAGCAAGUCACUUCCCCACCCUGGUAAACUCAGAGUGAAGUCUCAGGCAGGCUGUUCUCACCCAAUAAGAGGAAAAGGUGAAGGAUCAGGGUGGAGACCAACAGACAAAAUGUUUUAACCCCAGGGU
rnacentral:lncRNA from 1 species